rnacentral:rRNA from 1 species
GACGAACGCUGGCGGCGUGCUUAACACAUGCAAGUCGAACGGAAAGGCCCUGCUUUUGUGGGGUGCUCGAGUGGCGAACGGGUGAGUAACACGUGUGUAACCUGCCCUUGACUUUGGGAUAACUUCAGGAAACUGGGGCUAAUAUCGGAUAGGAGCUCCUGCUGCAUGGUGGGGGUUGGAAAGUUUCGGUGGUUGGGGAUGGACUCGCGGCUUACCAGCCUGUUGGUGGGGUAGUGGCCGACCAAGGCUUUGACGGGUAGCCGGCCUGGGAGGGUGACCGGCCACAAUGGGACUGAGGUACGGCCCAGACGCCUACGGGAGGCAGCAGUGGGGAAUAUUGCACAAUGGGCGGAAGCGUGAGGCAGCAACGCCGCGUGCGGGAUGACGGCCUUCUGGUGGUAAACCGCUUUCGCCUGAAACGAAGCGGGAGUGACGGUAAUGGGUAAAAAAGCACCGGCUAACUACGUG